GACGUAGGGCGCGAGCGUUGUCCGGAUUUAUUGGGCGUAAAGAGCUCGUAGGCGGCUUGUCGCGUCGAAUGUGAAAACUCGGGGCUCAACCCCGAGCCUGCAGUCGAUACGGGCAGACUAGAGUGCUGUAGGGGAGACUGGAAUUCCUGGUGUAGCGGUGAAAUGCGCAGAUAUCAGGAGGAACACCGGUGGCGAAGGCGGGUCUCUGGGCAGUAACUGACGCUGAGGAGCGAAAGCGUGGGAG
rnacentral:rRNA from 1 species